rnacentral:rRNA from 1 species
AAUAGAUACCCGGGUAGUCCACGCCGUAAACGAUGAGUGCUAAGUGUUAGAGGGUUUCCGCCCUUUAGUGCUGCAGCAAACGCAUUAAGCACUCCGCCUGGGGAGUACGGUCGCAAGACUGAAACUCAAAGGAAUUGACGGGGGCCCGCACAAGCGGUGGAGCAUGUGGUUUAAUUCGAAGCAACGCGAAGAACCUUACCAGGUCUUGACAUCCUCUGACACCCCUAGAGAUAGGGCUUCCCCUUCGGGGGCAGAGUGACAGGUGGUGCAUGGUUGUCGUCAGCUCGUGUCGUGAGAUGUUGGGUUAAGUCCCGCAACGAGCGCAACCCUUGAUCUUAGUUGCCAGCAUUCAGUUGGGCACUCUAAGGUGACUGCCGGUGACAAACCGGAGGAAGGUGGGGAUGGACGUCAAAUCAUCAUGCCCCUUAUGACCUGGGCUACACGACGUGCUACAAGUGGGCAGAACAAAGGGCAGCGAAGCCGCGAGGCUAAGCCAAUCCCACAAAUCUGCUACUCAGUUCGGAUCG